rnacentral:pre_miRNA from 1 species
CAGGGGGACUAGGGGUGAGCAGGCCCAGACCCCAGCUCAUGCUCACUUCAGUCCCUCCCUA